AACAGACCUUUCUUCACCGUUUAACUGGAAGUAAAAACAAUUCUAAAUAGCAUCACCAUUUUUACAAAUUAGUCACCAAAAAUAAGUAAUGAGAGGUUCAUUCGAUGCUACAGUCACAUAAGAUGGGGAGCGAUCGACAGAAUUUUCAAGAUUUCAUACGAUUUUUAAAAAAAUUGUUUCUGUGGUUACAAAUGUCUACAGUGGCUGUUAGGCAUCGGGGGAUGACGAAAUUUUUUUUUAACCAAAAUCAAAAAACCUGUGUCACUUUCUGAGACAUAGUUUCUGCAGAGCAGCAGGAGUUCAUUAGAAAUUCGCCUCCAAGUUGUGGGUAGUCUAGUUGGGACGGAGCAACCCCGUCCCUUUUCCCUUCCCUUUAUUCGGACCAGGGAGCUUGUGACCCGCCCAGCAUAUUUUCUGUCACAAAUAUGACAGCAUAUUUUCGUCUCCUCCAGAGUCGCAGUGAAAGAAAUACUCAGAAAUACAAUUUCAAGCUUAAUUUUCUUUUUAUCAUUAGAAAAAUGUCACAAGAACGUGUUAAAAACACAAUUUUCAUCAAAGCGGGUCUUUAAGGUGGCGGCCUCCAUGAAUCUCACGUCAUUGCAAUCAAACUAUUUUUUUUUUGGUCUCACUACAAAAUGGAGAACUUUUUAGCAGAUCAACCAGAUAUAGAGUGUUUAAUGUCUUUGUGGUUGCCAUGGCAACCACUUGUAACAGCAUUGAAAGCUUUGUUUUCCUGCCGUUUUAUUUUUAUCAGUUUUCUUCAAGCUCCCAUCUUGCAUUUCCUGGAACAAAGCUGAUCAGGAAUUAGCAAAUAGAACACCUUCAUAAAUGAGCCUUCUGGUUCAUGAAGCUACAACUCUCUGGUUCUAAGAUGAGCCCAGCUUCUCCAAAGCGCCGUGAAGGGUCUUCAGGUCCUCUCUCAUCUGGCUCAGAGCGUUCUGGAUCUUGUCCGGCUGGUCCAGAACCUCGACGCUGCAGGUGAACGGGUCGUAGCGAACGGCGAAGGGGCGCUGGAUGGUGGCGGAAAAUCUCCUGAAGACAGAGAGGUCUUUGAUCUGCUUUGGGAACCAGGGAACUGUGAUGUGGACGGAGAUCAGCGUGUCACUGUCAGACACUCAAUGCCACAAUGCUGGACGGGGAAAAGCGGCGCUCACCCUUUUCCUCUGGAAAGGAGCGGACGUCAUCCGCCACUCUCUUCAGUGCGUUGAGGAACACGUCCAGGUCGGAGCUCUGAACUUCACACCUCAUGAAGAACUCCAGGUCAGGACCGCCGUUCUUCAACUUCUUUCCCGGACGGCUUUCGAUGUGGAGAAGUUUGGCUUCAAAAGUCUGGGUUAAAGUACGACCAGAAGUAGAAAAAUGAAAACUUUUCUGCAGAUUUUUGAGUCUUCUGAUAAAUCUCCAGCAUCUCUUAGGGUCCAGAUAUUAAAAACAUCAAACUAAACUUGUGUUUUUGACAUAAAAAGUUAAAUUUUUUCUCUUACAUUCCCUUUCAAACCCUUUUACUUGACUUUUCAACAUUGCGAAAGCAUUUAAACAUGUUUUUAAGGAUUAUGACUCAAUUUAUCAAGAAAUUAAAAGCAUGGUAUGUAGCUUUCACAGAAAAUUGUAAUAUUUCUUUUUU